rnacentral:rRNA from 1 species
AUACGUAGGUGGCGAGCGUUGUCCGGAAUUACUGGGUGUAAAGGGCGUGUAGGCGGGGAUGUAAGUCAGAUGUGAAAUUCCGGGGCUCAACUCCGGGGCUGCAUCUGAAACUAUGUCUCUUGAGUGCUGGAGAGGAAAGCGGAAUUCCUAGUGUAGCGGUGAAAUGCGUAGAGAUUAGGAGGAACACCAGUGGCGAAGGCGGCUUUCUGGACAGUAACUGACGCUGAGGCGCGAAAGCGUGGGGAGCAAACAGGAUUAGAUACCCUGGUAGUCCACGCUGUAAACGAUGGAUACUAGGUGUAGGAGGUAUCGACCCCUUCUGUGCCGGAGUUAACACAAUAAGUAUCCCACCUGGGGAGUACGGCCGCAAGGUUGAA